rnacentral:rRNA from 1 species
UCGUGUCGUGAGAUGUUGGGUUAAGUCCCGUAACGAGCGCAACCCCUAUCCCUGGUUGCUAGCAGGUAAUGCUGAGAACUCCAGGGAGACUGCCGGUGACAAACCGGAGGAAGGUGGGGAUGACGUCAGGUCAUCAUGGCCCUUACGGCCAGGGCUACACACGUGCUACAAUGGCGCGUACAGAGGGCUGCGAACUCGCGAGAGUAAGCCAAUCCCUUAAAACGCGUCGUAGUCCGGAUCGGAGUCUGCAACUCGACUCCGUGAAGUCGGAAUCGCUAGUAAUCGCGAAUCAGAAUGUCGCGGUGAAUACGUUCCCGGGUCUUGUACACACCGAA